CCUGAGCCAUGAUCAAACUCUAACGUAAGGUAGCAGUAGGGAACUUCCGCAAUGGGCGAAAGCUUGACGAAGCAACGCCGCGUGAGUGAAGAAGGUCUUCGGAUCGUAAAACUCUGUUAUUAGGGAAGAACAAAUGUGUAAGUAACUAUGCACGUCUUGACGGUACCUAAUCAGAAAGCCACGGCUAACUACGUGCCAGCAGCCGCGGUAAUACGUAGGGGGCAAGCGUUAUCCGGAAUUAUUGGGCGUAAAGCGCGCGUAGGCGGUUUUUUAAGUCUGAUGUGAAAGCCCACGGCUCAACCGUGGAGGGUCAUUGGAAACUGGAAAACUUGAGUGCAGAAGAGGAAAGUGGAAUUCCAUGUGUAGCGGUGAAAUGCGCAGAGAUAUGGAGGAACACCAGUGGCGAAGGCGACUUUCUGGUCUGUAACUGACGCUGAUGUGCGAAAGCGUGGGGAUCAAACAGGAUUAGAUACCCUGGUAGUCCACGCCGUAAACGAUGAGUGCUAAGUG
rnacentral:rRNA from 1 species